UACGUAGGGGGCAAGCGUUGUCCGGAUUUAUUGGGCGUAAAGAGCGUGUAGGCGGCCAUACAGGUCAGCUGUGAAAACUCGAGGCUCAACCUCGAGACGUCGGUUGAAACCGUAUGGCUAGAGUCCGGAAGAGGAGAGUGGAAUUCCCGGUGUAGCGGUGAAAUGCGCAGAUAUCGGGAAGAACACCCGUGGCGAAGGCGGCCCGCUGGGCAACUGCUGACACUGAGGCGCGACAGCGUGGGGAGCAAACAGG
rnacentral:rRNA from 1 species